UACAGGGGGUGCAAACGUUGCUCGGAAUCAUUGGGCGUAAAGCGCACGUAGGCGGUUCGUUAUGUCGGAUGUGAAAGCCCUUGGCUUAACCGAGGAAGUGCAUCCGAAACUGGCGAGCUAGAGUACUAAAGAGGAUCGCGGAAUUCCCGGUGUAGCGGUGAAAUGCGCAGAUAUCGGGAGGAACACCAAUGGCGAAGGCAGCUCGCUGGGACGGUACUGACGCUGAGACGCGAAAGCGUGGGGAGCAAACAGGG
rnacentral:rRNA from 1 species